UACGUAGGGUGCGAGCGUUAAUCGGAAUUACUGGGCGUAAAGCGUGCGCAGGCGGUUAUUUAAGUCAGGUGUGAAAGCCCUGGGCUUAACCUAGGAAUUGCGCUUGAGACUGGAUAGCUUGGAGUGCGGCAGAGGGAGGUGGAAUUCCACGUGUAGCAGUGAAAUGCGUAGAGAUGUGGAGGAACACCGAUGGCGAAGGCAGCCUCCUGGGCCAGCACUGACGCUCAUGCACGAAAGCGUGGGGAGCAAACAAG
rnacentral:rRNA from 1 species